rnacentral:rRNA from 1 species
GAUGAACGCUGGCGGCGUGCCUAACACAUGCAAGUCGAGCGAUCUCUUCGGAGAGAGCGGCGGACGGGUGAGUAACGCGUGGGUAACCUGCCCUGUACACACGGAUAACAUACCGAAAGGUAUACUAAUACGGGAUAACAUAUGAAAGUCGCAUGGCUUUUGUAUCAAAGCUCCGGCGGUACAGGAUGGACCCGCGUCUGAUUAGCUAGUUGGUAAGGUAAUGGCUUACCAAGGCAACGAUCAGUAGCCGACCUGAGAGGGUGAUCGGCCACACUGGAACUGAGACACGGUCCAGACUCCUACGGGAGGCAGCAGUGGGGAAUAUUGCACAAUGGGCGAAAGCCUGAUGCAGCAACGCCGCGUGAGCGAUGAAGGCCUUCGGGUCGUAAAGCUCUGUCCUCAAGGAAGAUAAUGACGGUACUUGAGGAGGAAGCCCCGGCUAACUACGUGCCAGCAGCCGCGGUAACAC